GACGAACGCUGGCGGCGUGCUUAACACAUGCAAGUCGAACGGAAGGGCCCUGCUUUUGUGGCGUGCUCGUGUGGCGAACGGGUGAGUAACACGCGAGUAACCUCCCCCUGACUUUGGGAUAACUUUAGGGAACUCGGUCUCUUACCGGGUAGGAGCUCUUGCUGCAUGUUGUGCAUUGGAAAGAUUCGGCCGUUGGGGAUGGAAUCGAGGGUUAUGAGCUUGUUGGUGGGGUAGUGGCUUACCAAGGCUUUGACGGGUAGCCCGCCUGAGAGGGUGACCGGGCACAUGGGGACUGAGAGACGGCCCAGACGGCUACGGGCGGCAGCAGUGGGGAAUAUUGCAGAAUGGGCGGAAGCCUGAUGCAGCAACGCCGCGUGCGGGAUGACGGGCUUCUAGUUGUAAACAGAUGUCGACGGUGACGAAGCGAGAGUGACGGUAAUGGGUAAGGAAGCACCGGCUAACUACGUG
rnacentral:rRNA from 1 species